UGGGCAUUCGCCAAAUGGUAAGGCAGCGGACUCUGAAUCCGCAAUUUAUUGGUUCGAACCCAAUAUGCCCAA
rfam:Lactobacillus farciminis strain CNCM-I-3699-S genome.